CCUGACAAAUGGUUUGCCCGAAUCUAUUAGUCUGACCAGCAAAUGUUUGAUGAAAUGAAUUUUUGUAUUUUUGAGGAAGAAAAUAAUAUUCCUUUGGCUCAGUACUUUUUGAGCCAAAAUAAGUGCUGCCAUAAUAUUGUGCUUGCUUGUCUGGGUGACUUCUUCUCACUUUCCAUUGUAGAUGUUUACUGGUGGUGAUAAUGUCACAAAGAAGAACCAGACUGAGCCCUGAAUCUGAGGCUGCUCCUUUUAUCUGGAGUCAACAAGCCUUGUUUGAAAGCCCAGUGGAUCAAUGAUUAUAAAGGUAUGCUAUCAAUCUACCUGCUAUCUAAUUCUUAUGGCUACCGCAAGCACAUGACAAGAGCUGCAACCAAAGCCUGUCACAGUGACAGAUUUUAUUCGUACAUUGUAUUUACCCCAAAAAUGUCACAAUAAACAGCAUAUUUUUUAUGCCAUUGAUCAUAUUGGAGCAAAAAUAAUUGAAGUACUUUUGAAGAAAAUGUUUAGCAGCCAUUAUCAUUCAAUUAUUGAGAAUAUUGUAUUGCCAUGUAGAACUAGGAAUAUCUUGGAAUGAAAAAAUAGAAAUAGAAAUUAUUCGGCUUCUGUUAAAAUAUUGUGCUUCACCAAAUAUCACAAUUCAUAAAAACGCAUACCAUCCGUAAUAGUCGAGGAAAAUUAGAUGCCUUUAAACUUCCUUCAUAAUGCUUAUUUCACCUGAUUGAAGAAGGCUGUGGUAGCUGUUUGACAAAUCCACAUUUUUAUCAGCAAUUUGUACUGCCCAUCAAAAGUCUCUACUUAGUUGAAAACAACGAAUGGUCACCGGAAUUAUUUUUCAGUCAUUACAUUGUUUUAGUCUGAAAGAGUAUGUUUCGGGUGUUGUCUUUAUUAUUUGAACUCAGUCAUGUCUGUUGUCCUGAAAUUGUUAGCUAUAAGAGCUGUACAGUGGUAACUACCAUAAAGAGCCGGCUUGUGCUGUGUAUGAAGUUUAAUUUAUUCAAAAGUCAUGUAACUACGACAUAUUUCUGACACUCUAUGGUUGCUAUAAUGUUGAUUUUCAUGAUUUCAGUCAUGCCCUCAUACUUCCCAGUUACUGUAGAAUACUUUUUAGAAUAUUUCUGAUACUGUAAUGUUGCUGAAAAACCUGAGUGUGAUCAGGUGAAAUGACUUUUGUCUGGACCUAACACUGGAGAGCCUGUGUUCGAAUGUCCCGUAAUGGCACCGUAAUGGUGUUAUGUUGCAGACACCAAGUGACGGGAUCUUGACUGAACCUUCUGGAGACCAAGAAGGGAGUGAGAGAUCCACUUCAUCCUUACAACAGACACCAAGUGACCUGACUGAACCCUCUGGAGACCAUGAAUGGAGUGAGAUAUCCACUUCAUUCUUACAACAGACACCAAGUGACCUGACUGAACCCUCUGGAGACCAUGAAUGGAAUGAUAGAUACACUUCAUCCUUACAACAGACACCAAGUGUUCCGAUCCUGAUGAAACCUUUUGAAGAUCAAGAAAGGAGUGGAAGAUCCACUUCUUCCUUACAACAGACACCAAGUGACCUGACUGAACCCUCUGGAGACCAUGAAUGGAAUGAGAGAUAAAUUCUCAAAAUUCUCAAAUUUUCAAAAUUCUCAUUAUUUCCUGGAAUAUCUUAUUUUGAUUAUUUUAUUUUUCCAUUUUUAAUAAAUAAUGCCUUCUUUUACAGGUGGGAAUAAGAGACGCACGUGGACAGAUUAUGAAGUGAAGGCUGUUGAGCGACAUAUGUUUGAUUUCAUAACAAGCCAUAAAGUUUCAGGUAAAACGA